rfam:Schistosoma curassoni strain Dakar, Senegal genome assembly, scaffold: SCTD_scaffold0013753
AUAUAACUGAUGAGUCCCAAAUGGGACGAAACAUAUGUUUUAAAU